GAAGCCUUAGUAACAAGUAUUACAUAGCUCUGUCAGCACUAAAUUAUGGAUUUAAACCCAUAGGCUCCA
rnacentral:tRNA from 1 species